rnacentral:rRNA from 1 species
AUUGAACGCUGGCGGCAGGCCUAACACAUGCAAGUCGAGCGGAGCGGCCGACGGGCGGGUAAUUCCUAGGUGUCUGCCUGGCUGUGGGGGAUGGAGUACGGAAAGGGGCGCUAAUUCCGCAUACUUUCAGAUGAGCCUAGGUGGGAUUAGCUAGUUGGUGGGGUAAGGGCUUACCAAGGCGACGAUCCGUAACUGGUCUGAGAGGAUGAUCAGCCACACUGGAACUGAGACACGGUCCAGACUCCUACGGGAGGCAGCAGUGGGGAAUAUUGGACAAUGGGCGAAAGCCUGAUGCAGCCAUGCCGCGUGUGUGAAGAAGGUCUUCGGGUUGUAAAGCACUUUAAGUUGGGAGGCGUUACCAACAGAAGAAGCACCGGCUAACUUCGUGCCAGCAGCCGCGGUAAUUC